AUUCCAGCUCCAAUAGCGUAUAUUAAAGUUGUUGCAGUUAAAAAGCUCGUAGUUGGAUUUGUGGUGGCGCCUGCGGUCCCAAUUUUUUGGGUAUUGUCGGGCGCUGCCAUCCUUGGGUGGAACCUGUGUGGCAUUAGGUUGUCGUGCAGGGGAUGCCCAUCGUUUACUGUGAAAAAAUUAGAGUGUUCAAAGCAGGCUUACGCCGUUGAAUAUAUUAGCAUGGAAUAAUAAGAUAGGCCUUUGGUACUAUUUUGUUGGUUUGCGCACCAAAGGAAUGAUUAAUAGGGACAGUUGGGGCUCUUCGUAUUCCAUUGUCAGAGGUGAAAUUCUUGGAUUUUUGGAAGACGAAAUACUGCGAAAGCAUUGAGCAAGGAUGUUUUC
rnacentral:rRNA from 1 species